rnacentral:rRNA from 1 species
AGGCAUGCAGUCGAACGAAUCUCAGUAGCAAUACUGGGGGAAGUGGCGAAAGGGGCAGUAAGGCAUGGGUAACCUACCCUGGGGACUGGGAUAGCCUUCCUAACGGAAGGGUAAUACCGGGCGAUGUAGCGGGGGAGCAUUUUCUUGCUACGAAAUGAAUUUCGCCUCGGGAGGGGCCCAUGUGAUAUUAGCUAGUUGGUGAGAUAACGGCUCACCAAGGCCAAGAUGUCUAGCGGGUGUGAGAGCACGACCCGCGCCACUGGCACUGUGACACUGGCCAGACUCCUACGGGAGGCUGCAGUCGAGGAUCUUCGGCAAUGGGCGCAAGCCUGACCGAGCGACGCCGCGUGUGCGAUGAAGGCCUUCGGGUUGUAAAGCACUGUCGAGGGGGAUAAAGGCGAAAGCUUGAUAGAUCCCUGGAGGAAGCACGGGCUAAGUUCGUGCCAGCAGCCGCGGUAAGACGAACCGUGCGAACGUUGUUCGGAAUCACUGGGCUUAAAGGGCGCGUAGGCGGGGUGGACAGUCUAUGGUGAAAUCCUCCAGCUCAACUGGAGAACUGCCGUGGAUACUGCCAUUCUUGAGGGGUGUAGGGGCAUGCGGAACUUCGGGUGGAGCGGUGAAAUGCGUAGAUAUCCGAAGGAACACCGGUGGCGAAAGCGGCGUGCUGGACACCUACUGACGCUGAGGCGCGAAAGCCAGGGGAGCAAACGGGAUUAGAUACCCCGGUAGUCCUGGCCCUAAACGAUGGGUACUAGAUUGUGGACUGGACAUGGGUUCACAGUCGAAGCAAAAGUGUUAAGUAC